AGUUUGGCUGAGACAGCCCUUCUUGGAUCCACCAGACAUCUGGGGAGGCAUUCAACUGGGACCUGCAGGAUUCGCUUUCAAUGUGGCUCACCCACAUGGCCAGGAGUGCAGACCAGGACCAGCUGUUUCUCUCCACAUGGGUUUCUUCAAGGACUUCUUGGGCUUCUUCAGAGCAUGCCAGCUGGAUUUCGUGAUAUCAAGAGGAGUGUAGCACACACAUGUUACAGCUGAAAAUGAUGCGCUGUGAUGUCAAGCACUUUCCCAAGGAGAUGCAGCUAAUAGUUGCCAGAGCCAUAAUGAUAUUAGGUGUUGUUCCCUUUGUCUGGGACGCCCUCUCCGUAUGUAUUAGUCUGGAAAACUCCACUUAUCCCAUCAGCCUCAGCUCUCACCUCUUCCGAGACCUUCCCUGACAUCACUAGGCAAAUAUAAAUGAGCCCUCUGACCAUCCCCUUUGUGCAAGACUCAGGUUAAAAAAAUGACCCCAUGAGAGAGUGUUAAUAUUUCUUUCCUCAAUUAGAAUCUUGAAGUCCAGAACUGUGCAUUUCCAUCCUUAUAUCAGAAUGUCUAGCACACAAGAAGCACUGGGAAAUAUGUGUGGAAUAAAUAACUGAGCAUGUUGAUAAAGGAGCAUAUAUUUUUAAUAUCCAUAGAAGUGCAAAUCUUUGCUGGGUAGCGUUGUAGGAAUGUUUUUCCACAUGUCAUGACGACAUUUGUUUU
rnacentral:lncRNA from 1 species